rnacentral:rRNA from 1 species
GAUGAACGCUGGCGGCGUGCUUAACACAUGCAAGUCGAACGGAAAGGCCAGUGCUUGCACUGGUACUCGAGUGGCGAACGGGUGAGUAACACGUGGGUGAUCUGCCCUGUACUUCGGGAUAAGCUUGGGAAACUGGGUCUAAUACCGGAUAGGACAACUUUUUGGAUAUUGUUGUGGAAAGCUUUUGCGGUAUGGGAUGAGCUCGCGGCCUAUCAGCUUGUUGGUGGGGUAAUGGCCUACCAAGGCGUCGACGGGUAGCCGGCCUGAGAGGGUGUACGGCCACAUUGGGACUGAGAUACGGCCCAGACUCCUACGGGAGGCAGCAGUGGGGAAUAUUGCACAAUGGGCGCAAGCCUGAUGCAGCGACGCCGCGUGGGGGAUGAAGGCCUUCGGGUUGUAAACUCCUUUCGCUAGGGACAAAGCUUUUUUGUGACGGUACCUGGAGAAGAAGCACCGGCUAACUACGUG